rnacentral:rRNA from 1 species
UUAAGCGACUAAGCGUACACGGUGGAUGCCCUGGCAGUCAGAGGCGAUGAAGGACGUGCUAAUCUGCGAUAAGCGUCGGUAAGGUGAUAUGAACCGUUAUAACCGGCGAUUUCCGAAUGGGGAAACCCAGUGUGAUUCGUCACACUAUCAUUAACUGAAUCCAUAGGUUAAUGAGGCGAACCGGGGGAACUGAAACAUCUAAGUACCCCGAGGAAAAGAAAUCAACCGAGAUUCCCCCAGUAGCGGCGAGCGAACGGGGAGCAGCCCAGAGCCUGAAUCAGUGUGUGUGUUAGUGGAAGCGUCUGGAAAGGCGUGCGAUACAGGGUGACAGCCCCGUACACAAAAAUGCACAUAUUGUGAGCUCGAUGAGUAGGGCGGGACACGUGGUAUCCUGUCUGAAUAUGGGGGGACCAUCCUCCAAGGCUAAAUACUCCUGACUGACCGAUAGUGAACCAGUACCGUGAGGGAAAGGCGAAAAGAACCCGGCGAGGGAGUGAAAAGAACCUGAAACCGUGUACGUACAAGCAGUGGGAGCACGCUUAGGCGUGUGACUGCGUACCUUUUGUAUAAUGGGUCAGCGACUUAUAUUCUGUAGCAAGGUUAACCGAAUAGGGGAGCCGAAGGGAAACCGAGUCUUAACUGGGCGUUAAGUUGCAGGGUAUAGACCCGAAACCCGGUGAUCUAGCCAUGGGCAGGUUGAAGGUUGGGUAACACUAACUGGAGGACCGAACCGACUAAUGUUGAAAAAUUAGCGGAUGACUUGUGGCUGGGGGUGAAAGGCCAAUCAAACCGGGAGAUAGCUGGUUCUCCCCGAAAGCUAUUUAGGUAGCGCCUCGUGAAUUCAUCUCCGGGGGUAGAGCACUGUUUCGGCAAGGGGGUCAUCCCGACUUACCAACCCGAUGCAAACUGCGAAUACCGGAGAAUGUUAUCACGGGAGACACACGGCGGGUGCUAACGUCCGUCGUGAAGAGGGAAACAACCCAGACCGCCAGCUAAGGUCCCAAAGUCAUGGUUAAGUGGGAAACGAUGUGGGAAGGCCCAGACAGCCAGGAUGUUGGCUUAGAAGCAGCCAUCAUUUAAAGAAAGCGUAAUAGCUCACUGGUCGAGUCGGCCUGCGCGGAAGAUGUAACGGGGCUAAACCAUGCACCGAAGCUGCGGCAGCGACACUAUGUGUUGUUGGGUAGGGGAGCGUUCUGUAAGCCUGUGAAGGUGUACUGUGAGGUAUGCUGGAGGUAUCAGAAGUGCGAAUGCUGACAUAAGUAACGAUAAAGCGGGUGAAAAGCCCGCUCGCCGGAAGACCAAGGGUUCCUGUCCAACGUUAAUCGGGGCAGGGUGAGUCGACUCCUAAGGCGAGGCCGAAAGGCGUAGUCGAUGGGAAACAGGUUAAUAUUCCUGUACUUGGUGUUACUGCGAAGGGGGACGGAGAAGGCUAUGUUGGCCGGGCGACGGUUGUCCCGGUUUAAGCGUGUAGGCUGGUUUUCCAGGCAAAUCCGGAAAACUAAGGCUGAGGCGUGAUGACGAGGCACUACGGUGCUGAAGCAACAAAUGCCCUGCUUCCAGGAAAAGCCUCUAAGCAUCAGGUAACAUCAAAUCGUACCCCAAACCGACACAGGUGGUCAGGUAGAGAAUACCAAGGCGCUUGAGAGAACUCGGGUGAAGGAACUAGGCAAAAUGGUGCCGUAACUUCGGGAGAAGGCACGCUGAUAUGUAGGUGAAGUCCCUCGCGGAUGGAGCUGAAAUCAGUCGAAGAUACCAGCUGGCUGCAACUGUUUAUUAAAAACACAGCACUGUGCAAACACGAAAGUGGACGUAUACGGUGUGACGCCUGCCCGGUGCCGGAAGGUUAAUUGAUGGGGUCAGCGCAAGCGAAGCUCUUGAUCGAAGCCCCGGUAAACGGCGGCCGUAACUAUAACGGUCCUAAGGUAGCGAAAUUCCUUGUCGGGUAAGUUCCGACCUGCACGAAUGGCGUAAUGAUGGCCAGGCUGUCUCCACCCGAGACUCAGUGAAAUUGAACUCGCUGUGAAGAUGCAGUGUACCCGCGGCAAGACGGAAAGACCCCGUGAACCUUUACUAUAGCUUGACACUGAACAUUGAGCCUUGAUGUGUAGGAUAGGUGGGAGGCUUUGAAGUGUGGACGCCAGUCUGCAUGGAGCCGACCUUGAAAUACCACCCUUUAAUGUUUGAUGUUCUAACGUUGACCCGUAAUCCGGGUUGCGGACAGUGUCUGGUGGGUAGUUUGACUGGGGCGGUCUCCUCCUAAAGAGUAACGGAGGAGCACGAAGGUUGGCUAAUCCUGGUCGGACAUCAGGAGGUUAGUGCAAUGGCAUAAGCCAGCUUGACUGCGAGCGUGACGGCGCGAGCAGGUGCGAAAGCAGGUCAUAGUGAUCCGGUGGUUCUGAAUGGAAGGGCCAUCGCUCAACGGAUAAAAGGUACUCCGGGGAUAACAGGCUGAUACCGCCCAAGAGUUCAUAUCGACGGCGGUGUUUGGCACCUCGAUGUCGGCUCAUCACAUCCUGGGGCUGAAGUAGGUCCCAAGGGUAUGGCUGUUCGCCAUUUAAAGUGGUACGCGAGCUGGGUUUAGAACGUCGUGAGACAGUUCGGUCCCUAUCUGCCGUGGGCGCUGGAGAACUGAGGGGGGCUGCUCCUAGUACGAGAGGACCGGAGUGGACGCAUCACUGGUGUUCGGGUUGUCAUGCCAAUGGCACUGCCCGGUAGCUAAAUGCGGAAGAGAUAAGUGCUGAAAGCAUCUAAGCACGAAACUUGCCCCGAGAUGAGUUCUCCCUGACUCCUUGAGAGUCCUGAAGGAACGUUGAAGACGACGACGUUGAUAGGCCGGGUGUGUAAGCGCAGCGAUGCGUUGAGCUAACCGGUACUAAUGAACCGUGAGGCUUAACCUU